rnacentral:lncRNA from 1 species
GGGCAGUGAGGGCAGAGAGGCGGGAACGUGGCCCACACAGCCCUGUGGACCCUGACGAGGACGUGGGCAAUGAAAUACGGUCCUUCGUGUCCACUGUCAUAACAAAAGCUCUAGCCUGCAAUGAGGGAGCCAGCAGCAAGGCAAGGCUUUCUCCCUCAGGCAGAGGUCCCGGGACCAAAGGCCCCAGAACACCACCUCUCACCACAGCAGCGGACCAAAACUGGAGGAGUCGGCACUCAUCCAAAAGCAGCCUUGCAUCCCCUACCGAAGAAAUGGAAGACGCAAUAAAGGCCUUUGUCUCCACUGCAAUAAGAAAUGGCCUUGCCUGGAACCAGGGAGCCAUGAGGGAGGCAAGGCUUCCUCCCGUGGGCAGACCUCCCACGAGCAAAGGACACAAAACACCACCUCAGCCCGCAAGUGGGCCCCAGAAUUUAAAGAAGAGCUGGCACCAUGCCCCACACAGCCCUGCAGACUCUUGCACGGCACUGCGGGACACAGCACACUCCCGCGUGUCUGAAGUGCUGGAGAAGACACAAAAAAACUGGGAACACGGCCAACGAUCAGCAGCACUUGGGGACCUGGCACAAACGGGGUGCAAAUUGAGAGCAACAAGUUCAGCCGGGGUCCAGACCGACCUGGAGAGGACGUGGACGACUUCUCUGCCAGGGCCUGAUUCCCGGGUACGCGCAGGAGCAAGGGCUUCCAGCAGAGACCCUGCAGCAGCUAGCCCAGGCCAGGGUAAGAAGCAAAAACAACAGAGAGAGAAACACGUCAAACCCAGGCAGGGGACAGGAAACGAGGGGACAAGCCAAGGCAAGGGCAGGAAGGAGAGCAGUCCUGGGGGAUGGGAUGAAGAGGAGGAGAUCGUCAUCAUCAACUCCUGGAUCAACCCCAGGUUCGCCAGCCUCUUAACAGACCCACAGGACGUUCCCCAGGAAGAGGGCAGCGCAGCCAGCAGUGUGGACAGGGAGGCAGCAGAAGAAGCAAAACACCCAGCAAGCGCCUCUCCUGGCUCGCUGCAAACCACGGACACUGCCCCAUCAGCUGCUCCCCAGGAAGAAAUUCCUGGGGAAGAGAGGCACAGCACGCCUCUCACUUCAACAACAGCAGCCCAGAGCAGGCCAGCAAGUCCUCCAGCAGCCCCUGCUCUGGAAGAUGAGGGACACAGGACGCCUCCCCUGACACGUGGGGCUCCACAGUCAAAACCAUCAGCCUUUCCAAGCCCCAGUGAGCACAGCACUGAGGUGAUGGUUGAGAGCCAGGGACGUGCCCGACAUGCCUCCAGUGCCUGUGAUGAAGAGCUGGAUGAAGGAGUCAAGACCGACCUUUCCACAGUCCUACGCUGUGCUGUAGCCAUGAGCCAGGGAGCCGUGAGCAAGGCACCAAGUGCUCCCUCGGCCACAGGACCCAGCGUGCCUCCUCCCACAGCAGAGCCUGCAGAAUCUACAUCCUCAGCAUCUGCCUUGGCUGGAGCACUGGGGGACCUGGCACACACGGGAAGCACAGGGAGAGCAACGAGAUCAGCCGGGGUCCAGACAGACGUGGAGAGGAGGCGGACCACUGCUCUGCCAGGGCCUGAUUCCCGGGUAUGCGCAGGAGCAAGGGCUUCCAGCAGAGACCUUGCAGCAGCUAGCCCAGGCCAGGGUAAGAAGAAAAUACAACAGAGAGAGAAACACGUCAAACCCAGGCAGGGGACAGGCAACGAGGGGACAAGCCAAGGCCGGGGCAGGAAAGAGAGCAGUCCUGGGGGAUGGGAUGAAGAGGAGGGGAUCGUCAUCUUCAACUCCUGGAUCAACCCCAGGUUCGCCAGCAUCUUCACAGACCCACAGGACGUUCCCCAGGAAGAGGGCAGCGCAGCCAGCAGUGUGGACAGGGAGGCUGCAGCACAAGAAGCAGAACACCCAGCAAGCGCCUCUCCUGGCUCGCUGCAAACCACGGACACUGCCCCAUCAGCUGCUCCCCUGGAAGAAGGUCCACGGGAAGAGAGGCACAGUACGCCUCUCACAACAGCACUGGCACAGAGCAGGCCAGCAAGUCCUCCAGCAGCCCCUGCUC